UUAGAAGCAGCCAUCCUUUAAAGAAAGCGUAAUAGCUCACUGGUCGAGUUGCCCUGCGCCGUAAAUAUAACGGGGCUAAGCAUGGUACCGAAGCCGCGGACUCAGAAAUGAGUGGUAGGGGAGCGUUCUCGAUGCAGCGAAGCAGGCGCGCGAGCAACUGUGGAGCGUCGAGAAGUGAGAAUGCUGGCGUGAGUAGCGAUAAAGCGGGUGAAAAACCCGCUCGCCGUAAGCCCAAGGUUUCCUGUCCAAGGAUCAUCCGGGCAGGGUAAGUCGGUGCCUAAGGUGUAGCCGAAAAGGCGAAGCUGAUGGGAAUCAGGUUAAUAUUCCUGAACCAUGAACGAGGAGCAGAGCAGGGACGGAGAAGGGUAGGUCAGCCGGUCAUCGGAUUCCGGUUCAAGCGGGUAGGUAGCACGCGUAGGAACAAAAACGACGCGGGCAAUGCCGAGACGUGACGACGAAG
rnacentral:rRNA from 1 species